rnacentral:rRNA from 1 species
AUUGAACGCUGGCGGCAGGCUUAACACAUGCAAGUCGAACGAGUGGCGGACGGGUGAGUAAUGCUUGGGAAUCGAGCUUAUGGUGGGGGAGCACUACGGGAAACUGUAGCUAAUACCGCGUACCAUAGGAUGAGCCCAAGUGGGAGUAGGUAGGUGGUGAGGUAAAGGCUCACCAAGCCGACGAUCUCUAGCUGGUCUGAGUGGAUGACCCGCCACACUGGGACUGAGCCACGGCCCAGACUCCGACGGUAGGCAGCAUUGGGGAAUAUUGCGCAAGGGGGGCAACCCUGACGUAGCCAUGCCGCGUGUAUGAAGAAGGCCUUAGGGUUGUAAAGUACGUUCAGCGGGGAGGCGUUACCCGCAGAAGAAGCACCGGCUAACUCCGUGCCAGCAGCCGCGGUAAUAC